ACUUACAUUGAAGCCUAGCGAUAUGUAAGUUAGUGGCGGACGGGUGAGUAACGCGUGGGUAACCUGCCUUGUACUGGGGGACAACAGUUGGAAACGACUGCUAAUACCGCAUAAGCGCACGGGAUUGCAUGAUCCAGUGUGAAAAACUCCGGUGGUAUGAGAUGGACCCGCGUCUGAUUAGCCAGUUGGCGGGGUAACGGCCCACCAAAGCGACGAUCAGUAGCCGACCUGAGAGGGUGACCGGCCACAUUGGGACUGAGAUACGGCCCAGACUCC
rnacentral:rRNA from 1 species